rnacentral:misc_RNA from 1 species
UUGUGUAUUUAGUCUCACUCAGACAACGUGUUCAGGUAGUAGAUUGGCCGAAACGACCAAGCAAGAGGUAAAUUGGCAAGGGUUGGAGUUCCCGAAGGAAUUCUUGUAAUGAUCCUUCCGCAGGUUCACCUACGGAAA